UUUGUGUCCUAAAUAUACUUGCAAGUGUGAGACUCUCCACUAUGGGGUUCCCAAAGGCACAGACAAUCCCAUCAGUGGGGAGACACUAAAAGACUUUCAGAAAGAAGAUGAAAUAUUUAGUUAUUUUAGAAACUCAUUUAACCAGUUCUGCUCAGAGAAGAUUAGUAAAGAAAAGAGCAGGGUGGGCAGGUAGACGAGUGAAGAGACAAGCACCAUGAUUCAGGGCAGAAGUCACUGAGCUUAAGACUAUGUACAACACUUGAUGGCUAAGGAGGAGAGGGCACACCCUACCUGUUAUUCUCUUAUUUCCAAGAAAAGAAAUCUCUUAUUUUCCUGGCCCAUAAUAGGUGCUCAGUAAAUAUUUGUUGAGUGCUUUAAUAAUAUUUGAGUAACUUAUUUGUGUUACAAAACCUUAGUUGUGCCCUUUCUUCCCCAAUAUUGCUUCCCCCUAGCUGAAACUUUGCUUGGCCUGUCCCAUGGAGUUCACUGCACGCUGUCCUCAGGUUUCUGCUUCCCCUUUCAGGUCAUCCUGGAAUUCACACUGCUUCCAGACCCCUCUCUCUACUUCCUUAAUAUAGUUCCUUCAUUAGAGCCAUUCAAUAAGCAGGUAUUUAUAAAUACUCAAAAUGGACAUUUACUAAGCAUUUAAAACCUGCCAGGCACCUGCUAAACACGUACCACACCUUUGUCUCAACCCUCCCCAUGGCCCAGUGAUGUAGUUAACUUUCUUCAUAGAGGAUAGAGGCUGAGGAACUUGUGGCAGGUCACACAGCUAAUUAGUGGCAGAGCUGAAAUUCAUACUCAGGUACACAACUCGAAAGCCCAGGUUUUGAGCACUAGAAUAGACUGCCCAGCACUGUGCACUGUGUGUAGCUGGGGAUAUAAGGAAAUGUUAAGACAAACCCAUUGGGAAAAAAAGAUAAAUACACCAAGAGUAAACUCGAUGCUAAAAAUGCAUCAUAACUCAAGGCAACAAAAGAAGAGCUGCCACAGGCCAGGAUGUGAUGACUACCAGUCUGAAUGGUAGGGAAAACAGGGAGGGAGGUCAUCCUGGUCUAAGUAAUCAAGGAGGCUCAAGGAAGGAGGUCAGGUUUGACUUGUGGCUUUCCUGCUAUUUAAGGAGACCUGUGACUUCCUUUGAAACAAUGAAAGAGCAGUUAGUAGGUCCCUAGUGGACUGAUUGUAAAUUGCAGCGGGAAGUUAAAGGAGGGAGAAAAAUUCAUAUGAACUGGAGCAGGGCAUCUGCUUGGUGGUCCAGCUCUGGGCUCCUGCGGAUGGAGCCUGGAUGAGUUCCUGGGUGGAAUGGCUUUGAUCACCCCACGGAAGACCCAUUUUGUACAUGCAUAUUCUUGGGUUGAAACAGACUUUUUUCCUGGGACUCCAUGUUUUCCUUUAAGUGUGGCCUUUCCCCACAUCACCUGUGAUCAUAGCAGGGAAAAUCCUUCCAUUGGAGCUGAGAAAAGGGCACCAUCUCUCCCAGCCCAAGGGGUGACAGUAACAGAGGAGACUGAAUUUACUUACUUGUGGUGUAUACUCAUUAGGUAACACAGAAAGAUAUCCUCAAGAACUCCUAGAAGAAGAAGUUGGAGAGUCUCAGCGGUGAGUAAAUAAAUGGUGCACAUGGCCAGGAUGAAACUCUAAAUAGCUUAGUGCUGUGGAAUCGGGUGCAAGAGAGUUCUGCAGGAGGAGGAGGAAGAGAACAGCAGUUGGGGUGACUUGGUGGACUUCAGGAUGAAAUAACCACACAGCAUGCUUCCUAGCUGUGGAAGAAUUCCUGAAAUUUUGACACUCGGCUCCCACGAGGCAGUACAAACCAGUUCUAGCAUGUCAUCAGGUCCAAAGGAAAAGACAAAAAUCUGAAUGUGCAGGAGAUGCAACUUGAUCAGGGAGAGGGAUGAAAGGAGCCUGUGCUGCUGAGGACCUGCCAGGACCUAUCAGGACCCAGGCUGAUUUGAAGACCUCUUUCCUGCUGUGUGCUGAAGUUGAUGGGGGAAGCAGAGACCACCAUCCACACCCACCCACUCCUGGUACAAGUAGACCCUCAGGUCUCCCCUUCUCCUUUCUCUCCCGGAAGAGAAACAUCCCCUGAAUCUAUUCCUAGGAAGUCUGGUAGAGGGACAAGCUGGCUGCCUCCGAGAAAGGACAUUUGCAUGGAAGAGCAUAAGCUGGGGAAAGCUGAGAGGACGAGUAGAAGGAAUUGGGACAUUUUUAGGAAUGUCACCUCCAACCCAAGAAACACCCAUCCCGGGGAGUGAGGCCCACCCCGUGGGACUGUGAGAGAAACAUGGUCCCCAUUGACAGAGCCCCCACCUGUUUACACUAACAGCUUCCAUCACCCAAGAGGGUAAAUUGAGCUGAUUCUUUGAUGAUGAGGAAGUUAAGUGGAAUGUGAGAAUCCUCACUGCUGACGUCAAGCUUGCCUUUCAUUUUAUUUAUACCCAUGACAUUGUGACACGGGAUCUAAUUUUCCAUUGUAU